rnacentral:rRNA from 2 species
GGCAGCAGUAGGGAUCUUCCACAAUGGACGAAAGUCUGAUGGAGCAACGCCGCGUGAGUGAAGAAGGGUUUCGGCUCGUAAAACUCUGUUGUUAAAGAAGAACAUAUCUGAGAGUAACUGUUCAGGUAUUGACGGUAUUUAACCAGAAAGCCACGGCUAACUACGUGCCAGCAGCCGCGGUAAUACGUAGGUGGCAAGCGUUGUCCGGAUUUAUUGGGCGUAAAGCGAGCGCAGGCGGUUUUUUAAGUCUGAUGUGAAAGCCUUCGGCUCAACCGAAGAAGUGCAUCGGAAACUGGGAAACUUGAGUGCAGAAGAGGACAGUGGAACUCCAUGUGUAGCGGUGAAAUGCGUAGAUAUAUGGAAGAACACCAGUGGCGAAGGCGGCUGUCUGGUCUGUAACUGACGCUGAGGCUCGAAAGUAUGGGUAGCAAACAGGAUUAGAUACCCUGGUAGUCCAUACCGUAAACGAUGAAUGCUAAGUGUUGGAGGGUUUCCGCCCUUCAGUGCUGCAGCUAACGCAUUAAGCAUUCCGCCUGGGGAGUACGGCCGCAAGGCUGAAACUCAAAGGAAUUGACGGGGGCCCGCACAAGCGGUGGAGCAUGUGGUUUAAUUCGAAGCUACGCGAAGAACCUUACCAGGUCUUGACAUACUAUGCAAAUCUAAGAGAUUAGACGUUCCCUUCGGGGACAUGGAUACAGGUGGUGCAUGGGUUGUCGUCAGCUCGUGUCGUGAGAUGUUGGGUUAAGUCCCGCAACGAGCGCAACCCUUAUUAUCAGUUGCCAGCAUUAAGUUGGGCACUCUGGUGAGACUGCCCGGUGACAACCGGAGGANGGUGGGGGAUGACGUCAAAUCAUCAUGCCCCUUAUGACUGGG